UACGUAGGUGGCAAGCGUUAUCCGGAUUUAUUGGGCGUAAAGGGAACGCAGGCGGUCUUUUAAGUCUGAUGUGAAAGCCUUCGGCUUAACCGGAGUAGUGCAUUGGAAACUGGGAGACUUGAGUGCAGAAGAGGAGAGUGGAACUCCAUGUGUAGCGGUGGAAUGCGUAGAUAUAUGGAAGAACACCAGUGGCGAAGGCAGCAUACCGGCGCCCGACUGACGCUGAGGCACGAAAGCGUGGGGAUCGAACAGG
rnacentral:rRNA from 1 species